UUGUCUACGUAGCUACGUAAGUUUCUACGUAAGAUGCUCGGUACCUGGUCCUGGACCAGGGAGCUACUCCAUGGCUCCUACCAUCGCGCGGCCGGCUGGCCGCAUGCGUGUGCAUUGCAGACUUUUUGUUGUUGCCUUUUCGGAUGUGCAUGCACGAGGAACUUCCUUCUUUGGAACUGCUUCUUGCAUGAGCUGUUUCGGAUAGUUCGUCUCCUGGCCUGGCUUAUUUCGUUUCGGCGCUGCUGAGACCUCCUUUCGCGGAAUAUUACUCAAUGACAGUGUGCGAAGAACGCGAGUUCACCUUCUUGACGCUUGCCUUGUUCCUCAACGCUGUCCCACCAUCCACGGAGACGAGUCAACUGCCCACCCGCACCAGAAUCAUCUGCAUACCACGUUUGCCGUACGGUAGGAUGCACAACCUGCAGUGCCUGGACUAGAGGGAGCGUCGCUAAAGCGUAGAAGACCAUGGACAACGGGUCACCUUGCGUAGUGCCCUCGUCGGACGAAAUCUCACCACCACCUGCAACAAAGAGUCGAGCCGGGGUGUUAUACGAAUUUUUCAGUAUUGUCGCAAUAGGUGGACAUAGGUAUUGUACAUUGUGCAAAGCUGCUUGUCUGUUCAAGCAGUUGAAGGCAUUACGUGCGUCUACCAAAAGAACAGCCUCGCAAGACUCAUCAUCAUAAAGGCGUUGCAUGGCAUGAACAGCAGCUUCGAUGCCCGCAGGAAGACCCGAGCACUUCUGUAUGAAACCGCACGCUUCUUGAACAUCUUACUUGGAAGCUUUUGUUUGGCCCACAGGGCGCUAGGGCGUCCACCGGAGUGACGUCUUCUCAAUCACCCCAGUUCAAAUGCCUGGAGUCAUACUUUAGCCUAGGUAUGGAAGGUAGCACAACAGAUACAUGUAUAUGCAAGAAUGCAGCAUCGGAAUGGCUGCCCCAGGGAAUAAUAUACUAGUAGGGCCUGGCGCAGGUUGGGACUGUUGAUGUUGUAGUUAGUGCUGAAACGAGUACUCUAUAAGCUAUCGAGCGAGUACUGUCACUAUCGAGUCGAGUAUCGAGUACUCUAUAAGUAUAAGCAAUCAUGCGCAUAUAUGUCAGUACCACAUACCCAUUUUUUGCACACCAUUUACGCAAUUCAAUAACCUUCAAUAAACACAAAUUUUCAUUGCAAAGCCACAUGGACGAAGGAUGUGUAUGUCGCUAUCAAGUUUUUUAUUUAUUUAUUUAUCGAGUCCUUUUUUGAUAUCGAGUCGAGUACUCAACGAGCGGGUACUCGAGUACUCGGCGUACUCGUUUCA